rnacentral:rRNA from 1 species
CAGUCGCCGCGGUAAUACGUAGGGUGCAAGCGUUAAUCGGAAUUACUGGGCGUAAAGCGUGCGCAGGCGGUUUGUUAAGACAGAUGUGAAAUCCCCGGGCUCAACCUGGGAACUGCAUUUGUGACUGGCAAGCUAGAGUGUGGCAGAGGGGGGUGGAAUUCCGCGUGUAGCAGUGAAAUGCGUAGAUAUGCGGAGGAACACCGAUGGCGAAGGCAGCCCCCUGGGCCAACACUGACGCUCAUGCACGAAAGCGUGGGGAGCAAACAGGAUUAGAUACCCCAGUAGUCCCUGUCUUUAUACA